UGCGGACAACACAGCCGGAGGGGCCUUCAUGAAAUCCAACCCGGGGUUCCCCAUCCUGCGGUCACAAAAGUCCUGGCAUGUCCUUGGGGACAAUCCUAGGUCAGAAUUGCUCAGGGAAGUGAAGGCUCUGGGACGCAGAACAGAGAAUGCUUUGCUUCUAGAGCAAGCCUCCCCUCCCCAGACCAGCUCCAUGGCUGGAGAAUGCACAGGGGGCGUUCACAGCUUUCACGGAGCUGUCCCUGAUUGGAGUGGAGGUAGACAUAGAGCAUGGCACCGUCUGGCCCUGCCAGUCACCUGGGGAAGACGGGAGGUUUCCCCCGGAGGGACUAUGACAGUCCCCACCUCUACAUGAUGGGACAGUCCCCACAGGAGCGUCGAGGCAGACAGACUCUGGAAGUUGUAAGGAUGAAGACAGUUAGAGAUGACAGCAGGUACCUUUUCUGUAGAGUGUAAAUGCCAAGAUGGUGCUGCCCAGAGAUGAACUAGCCAAGAAUACCUAUUUAUGUUGCAGUAUCGCCAAAGAAAAUAAUUACUACUGUGGAACAUGAAGGAUAUAUUUUAAGGCUUUCUCCACAUUAGACUGUCUAGGUUCAUUUUCCCACCCUUCUGAAAUCUGACUCGAUUUUCCAGUUGACCACAGUCUGAAGACAGCCAGUUGACCACAGUCUGAAGACAGCCAGUUGGCCACAGUCUGAAGACAGCCAGUUGGCGUGAGGUUCUGUGACCUACAGAGAUGGUGGGAGGAGUCAGACGGGAAAUCUCUUAUGUCGACGUGGUCACCACCACUUGCUUCCUGAGGGAGAAGAAUCGGAAAGACCUGGCAAGACAGACUAGCUAGAAGGGCUUUCUGAUUCCAGAACAAUACUAAGUUUCCUGAAGUAAAGUAUUAAAUAAAUAUAAAUAAAUGCUAAGACGUAUAUAAAUGUGGUAUGAAGAGGAAGAAAAUAAUGGAAUGGAGGAAAAUAGACACAAAUAGAAAUUCUAAGGUAUUUCUAAUCUGGGAUAGAACA
rnacentral:antisense_RNA from 1 species